rnacentral:rRNA from 1 species
CACGUAGGGUGCGAGCGUUGUCCGGAAUUAUUGGGCGUAAAGAGCUCGUAGGCGGUGUGUCGCGUCGGCCGUGAAAACCUGCAGCUUAACUGUGGGCUUGCGGUCGAUACGGGCAGGCUCGAGUUCGGUAGGGGAGACUGGAAUUCCUGGUGUAGCGGUGAAAUGCGCAGAUAUCGGGAGGAACACCGGUGGCGAAGGCGGUUCUCUGGGCCUUACCUGACGCUGAGGAGCGAAAGCGUGAGGAGCGAACAGG